rnacentral:lncRNA from 1 species
UGAAACAUUGGAGACAUUUAUUUUGGCCUCUCCUACUGCUCUGAACAAAACAAUUAUGAGAUAAGGGAGGCAAGAACAGGAGGAAAUUCUUUCAUUUUUCACAUUGGAAGUCCAAAGGAUCCAAUGGUCUGUUUAUGAGGAAGAAUAAAGAAGAUACACGAACUCAGUGAAGUUGUUGUUACAAACACAUAGGUCCAUUUUGAAAGGUGCCAUGGAUGGGCCAGAGACAGAGCUGCCGGUGCGAUUCACUGCAUUACCAGACUGGCCUCUGUUGUCAGUGGGAACAAGUGUCUUUGUCAUGUUUGAAGAAAUCCUGGGAG